rnacentral:rRNA from 1 species
UACAGAGGUCUCAAGCGUUGUUCGGAUUCAUUGGGCGUAAAGGGUGCGUAGGCGGCGCGGUAAGUCGGGUGUGAAAUCUCGGAGCUUAACUUCGAAACUGCAUUCGAUACUGCCGUGCUUGAGGACUGGAGAGGAGACUGGAAUUUACGGUGUAGCGGUGAAAUGCGUAGAUAUCGUAAGGAAGACCAGUGGCGAAGGCGGUUCUCUGGACAGUUCCUGACGCUGAGGCACGAAGGCCAGGGGAGCAAACGGG